rnacentral:rRNA from 1 species
AUUGAACGCUGGCGGAAGGCCUAACACAUGCAAGUCGAGCGGAGCGGCGGACGGGUGAGUAAUGCCUAGGAAUCUGCCUGGUAGUGGGGGAUAACGUCCGGACACGGGCGCUAAUACCGCAUACUAUCAGAUGAGCCUAGGUCGGAUUAGCUAGUUGGUGGGGUAAGGGCCUACCAAGGCGACGAUCCGUAACUGGUCCGAGAGGAUGAUCAGUCACACUGGAACGGAGACACGGUCCAGACUCCUACGGUAGGCAGCAGUGGGGAAUAUUGGACAAUUGGCGAAAGCCUGAUCCAGCCAUGCCGCGUGUGUGAAGAAGGUCUUCGGAUUGUAAAGCACUUUAAGUUGGGAGGCGUUACCAACAGAAUAAGCACCUGCUAACUUCGUGCCAGCAGCCGCGGUAAUUC